AAUUAGAUAAGCUAAAUUAAGCUAGUGGGUUCAUACCCCAAUAAUGAGACUUCCUCUCUAAUUA
rnacentral:tRNA from 1 species